rnacentral:rRNA from 1 species
GGGUGCGAUCAUACCAGCAAUAAUGCAUCGGAUCCCAUCAGAACUCUGAAGUUAAGCCUGCUUAAGCGAGUGUAGUACUAAGAUGGGCUUUGUCACAGGACUUCCAUAGGCACAGGUA